CGGGAGGGCUGUGAGGGCUCGGGCUGCGCGUGGGGAUUGUGGCGGCCGGGGCGCUGAGGGGCGGCUGUGCCCGGGGAGCCCCAGGGUGUUUCGGGGUGUCGGUAGCUCCCUGGAGCGCAGCGCCAAUUCUCACACCACGGGGCGCUGUUUCCGUAUUUUAAUCUGGUUUGCACAAAGCAGGGAGCUCUGGUUACCCACCAAAACCACCUUGGUCAUCAGAAGUUUACACUAUUAGUACACUUGAACAGAGGCGUCAGCCCUCGUUGGUCACAAACGCUAUAAUUUUUGUGUUGAUUAGGACUCAGACCCCGCUUUGCUGGUUGUCUCACGCUGGUCGGCUCUCAGGGGUGAUUGUCCCUGCACUGGGCUCUGGGCCCGUUCAUUUGCAGUGGGUGCUCACUGAGUUGGUGAUCACGAUCUUCCAGAGCUGGAAUUCCCUCUCCCCAGGGAAAAGUUUGGGCUCAGUCCUGCCCAAACAGGCCGUUCCUUUUGGGGCUGUCUUCCCUUUCCUUUAAAAGGUCAGCCAAGCACACAGCAUUUCCAUUGCAAUUGCUGCCUACCCCGCUGGAGACCCCCGAGACAAGGUGUGAUCCCUGGGCCUGUUCUGUUCCGCCUGCUGAAGUUGCCUCUGCAUCCCUGGGCUGGGCAACAGCUGGAAGAGACUGCAGGCACACACUGUGCCCCUGGACCUGUGUUACUGCCAGGCUAAACCGAGCUCCCAAACCCCAGGCUGGGUGAUGGAAAUGGUUCUUGGAGAAGGGAGAGGAUCUUUGCCUGUAGAACUGACAUUGCAAACAGCUCCUGCUCUGUUUCUGCAGAUAAGGUUCCUAGCACUCCCUAAUGAGGGCAGAAUGAACAUGAAUUAAGAUUUCUCCUGGUUUGGCUGCCUCAGAAGCUCCCAGUUUAGUUGGGGGCACCAGGAACACCAGAGAAGUGGAAAUGGGGGAGAGAUGAAGAGGGGAGAUCUGAGACUGCAGCUCACAGGCAGAAAUCAUCAAACUGCAACCUCAGGAACUGCUAAAGGAGUGAUACCCACAAAGAGGUUUGUAAUGUGUGUGUGUACUUAUCUAUGAGUGGGUAUAGGUGCAUUUAUA